rnacentral:rRNA from 1 species
GAUGAACGCUGGCGGCGUGCUUAACACAUGCGAGUCGAACGGAAAGGCUCCUGCUUGCUGGGGUACUCGAGUGGCGAACGGGUGAGUAACACGUGGGUGAUCUGCCCUGCACUUCGGGAUAAGCCUGGGAAACUGGGUCUAAUACCGGAUAGGACGAUGGUUUGGAUGCCAUUGUGGAAAGUUUUUCGGUGUGGGAUGAGCUCGCGGCCUAUCAGCUUGUUGGUGGGGUAAUGGCCUACCAAGGCGUCGACGGGUAGCCGGCCUGCGAGGGUGAACGGCCACAUUGGGACUGAGAUACGGCCCAGACUCCUACGGGAGGCAGCAGUGGGGAAUAUUGCACAAUGGGCGGAAGCCUGAUGCAGCGACGCCGCGUGGGGGAUGACGGCCUUCGGGUUGUAAACUCCUUUCGCUAGGGACGAAGCGCAAGUGACGGUACCGGGAGAAGAAGCACCGGCUAACUACGUG